ensembl:lncRNA
CUCAGAGUGAGUUGUCCUGGCAUUGAUGUUCCCUCUCCUGGCAUCCCAGAGGCCCCACGUGCCUCCUCUGUGCCUGGUGGACUCCCAGGUACCUUAAGGCUUUUGGCUCAGAUGCCCCUUCCCCCAGGAAGCCCUCCUGGCUUCCUCCCCCGUCCACUCCAGAUUUGUACACCCUCAUCAGGGCCUUUCCCCAGUGUUCUUAUUGCUCGUUGCUGCCCUGCAGGACCCUCGGCCUUGACUCCCCCACCUGGCCCUACUGUGCCAAAGCUCAGAGAGGUUGGGACAUUUGCCCAGUGUCACACAGCUGGGAAGUGGCAGAGCCCAGCACACGCUCAGACAGAUUGGAGCCCAGUGCUUUGCCUGCGGGCAGUGCAGCCUAGUGGCUAGGGAGGUGAAGAGGGCUAGGAGGCUGCUCCUGCCCCUGGUGUGGGGUCUUGGGCAGGUGACUUCACUUGUGACAUCGUUUUCGAGGCACCUCUGGACUCUGAGUGACCACAUCCCGGGCUCAGACAGGAGGACAAGGCUGGCCGGCCAAGGAAGGCUGCCUGCCUGUGCCUUCCCCCACCCCCCAACUUUGCUUCGUUGCCUCUGCUCUCUGCUUUAGCCUGGACCUGACCCCUGACCCCAGGGCUCAGCAAGCAGUGCUGAGUGAGGUGUCUGCACCUGUACAGUCAGGCCACUCAUGGUGGUCGUUCUUUGGCUGGCUGGCCACGCCCUGCCCGACCGACCAGGGCCUGCUUACCUACCAUCCCCUAGCACGGGACUGACCUUCCUGCAUGCUCGCCCCAGGCCCCAGGUGGUGAUUGUUCUAAUCAAAGGGGCCCCUUGCGGCCACGUGCCCACUGCUGAUUUCCCUGGUAACUAAUGAGCCCACCUGAGGUCACUUCCCCUGUAACUGGUAACCUGCCCUUUCCCGGGAGCGAAGCCUGCCACCGUGUCCUGCCUGCCGUCCACCACACACAAUGGGGCGUCUCUCCGGGACUCUGCUUCAGACGUGUGAAUGGAAAGGAGGCCUGGCCCCUAGGGACAGGAUCUGAACCUGGUGAAGGAGCCAACACCCCCAGCAUUGCAGGACAAAUUUUGGAUCAUCCGUGCUUUCUACUGAAAGACUUGCAAUCCAAAGGGGAAAUGAUGGAAGAACCUGCAGGAAUCAGCCCACCAGGAUGCCAUCCUCCUGAGGACUUGUGGGAAAUGAGCGAAACAGAAGAACCACAGAGCCAAGCUCAGGUGCAUGUUAUGAGCUUUCCAUCUGGCUCGGAGACAAGGCUGAGGGCAUCCCUGCCAUCAGCCUCAGCACCGCCUCAUUGGAUGUGUCUGAUUCACCUCUUUGGUCAUUGCCUUCAUGAAAAGGACCAUUUGCUUACCCCCACACCCCGACCCCAGAAGAGACAGCCAAGGGCUGUGAAGACAUGUGUCUGUCCCCAGUGCCUUAGAAAGGGCACAGGAGAUCCAGAGGCCAGAGGACUCACUGUCAGCACUCCAGGGAACUGAAUGACACCUCAAGCUGGUCACUGGUCUUCUCUGAACUUCAGUCUCUUCAUCUGUCAAGUGGAGGAGGGCAUGCUUCAUGUGGCAAGAGUUCUUUUUAGCACUGAAGUUCCAGAGCGCCUCCCCCCUAUUUGCUCACUGUGUGAACGUCUGAGUGCUGUAAACUCCUAUGCCUCGAUUUCCACAGCAGUCCAGUUUUAGUAUGAAUUGUGCUUCCUCUGUGAAGCUUCAGUGGGAUGGUUCAUAGAGAUGUACUCCAUGCAGUCUGCAGGUCAGACUCACGAGGAUGGUCUUCCUGCCACAGUACACAGCCCCUGUGUUUGAGAGGUUCAUGUACGGAGGUUUAUAUCUUGUUCACACAGCAGUCCAGCGCCGACUUGACUUCCACAGCUGGGCAUCUCUUGUGGAAGUGCUGCUCCUUCCUGUCUUCCGCGUCUGCUUCCUCCUGGUCCUUGGAGGCCUCUCCACUCAGCAGGUAGAUGAAGAAGAAUGGGGAAGGUUGCAGAUUCAUGUCUUAUGGAUCCACCGGGGAGCAGUCAACACCAAUAUCUUCACACUCCAUCACCCCUAGCUGCACGGGAGGCCGGAGAUGUGGGUGUCUGUGUGCCCUGGAGUGAAGGGGAACAGUUUCCAGGACAGUUCAUCCAUCUCUAUCAUAGAAACCAUAGUCUACAAGAUCAAUGAGAGCCAUCUUGAUCCUUUUGUGGAAAGAGAGACCCCUUGAUUUACCAGGAUUGGGGAAGUCUCAAGAUAAUCACUGUGUCAAUAUGUGUGCGAGUAUGUGCGUGAGUGCAUGUUCCCCAGAAACCAAAGCCUGAGGCAAGGCUCACAGGCUCCUGCCUUCUUAGGAGGUGCAACCCCAGGAAGCGGAAGUGAGGGCAAGGAGAACUAAUAGGAAGGUCCAGUCUGAACUGACCAGCACCUGGUAUUAAGAGCCAGCCAUUGCUUGGUUUUAUGGGGCCAUCUUCCUAAAGUCCAUAUAAACAGUUGCUGCUCAGGACAGCUUAUUCAAGGAGGAGAAAGAAAGGACAUUUAUCCACUGGCUUCUGCUGCUCAUUGGCCAAUGAUUCAUCCAGGUUGCAAGAACUCUCUUAGUCAUGCAGGGAUAGGCUCUAGGCAAAUCCUACGGCAUCCCUGAGCCCCCGAGGCCAGGAAGAUCUUCAGAGCAGGGAAUGGAAGGUGCCUGGCGUGGACAUCAGGUGAGGCACCUGCCGAAUCCAGUUGGAACCCGUGGAAAGAUCCCUGGUGUCUCCUUUGCCAAGCUUACAGAAGACAGAAUUGGAAGGCACCAAAAUCCAGAUGCAGGUUGGCACCAGGCACCGGGUUAGCCCACAACAAGACCCUGCCCACAAUGAGACCCCACCCACAACGAGACCCUUUCUGAAGCUCAGCGGGGUUCUGCUCUGCACUGCAUCUGACCUCUGGAGAGUUCGAGUGUUGCUGCAAAAAAAAAAAAAAAAAAACAUGCACACAUGAUUCUCCAGGGCCGAGGCCCUGUCAUCCUUCACCGAAAUGAGCCCUUCAACAAAUGUAAAUACCUUCCAUGCUCUCCCGGAGGCCCGUCCUAACAAGGCCUUGCCCGGGCUCCUAGUAAUCCCGGGGAUUGCUGAAGCUUUUAGAUUUCACGGGGUAAUUUGUAAGGCGGCCUGACUUGCAGCCGGCCCUGUGGUGACUUGCCUGGGGUGGCUCCCGGGUGCCUUGGAGAAAGGUCGGGCUGGACUUGCCCAGCGCAGGUGAGCGGCUGGCUGGCUCUGCAGACCGCGGACCCAGAGGCCCAUGGACCUGUGUCUCAAAGCAUCUCCAAGAAGACCAGGCAGUGGCAGAGCACCGUCCUUGCUGGGGAUGGGGCUCCACAGCUGCCACCGCUGAUAGCACGGAGACAGCUGCAGGGUCAGGACAGCGCGGCUGCAGGCCACCGGCCGAGCGGCCUCACCCGAGUCAAUUAGUCUGCUGUCCCGUCUCCCCCCAACAGCUUCCAAAGCCAGGGCUCAGGAGGGCCGCACGUCGGGCCCUGCCCCUCACCCCCUAUCUCGUGCCUUGAGGGCCUCUUCCCCAGCCAUGCAUUUCCACUCUGCCCCCCAUGUGGUGCCCACCAGAAGUGCCCCAUGGAGUCUGUGAUAUCACCCCUGCCUCCUGGCACACAGCGCACUUCAUCCCCCACCCCAGCAGUCAGGUGGGGCCCUGAGACUGGCUUCCAGC